CACGUAGGGCGCGAGCGUUGUCCGGAAUUAUUGGGCGUAAAGAGCUCGUAGGCGGCCUGUUGCGUCCGCUGUGAAAGCCCGGGGCUUAACCCCGGGUCGGCAGUGGAUACGGGCAGGCUAGAGGUAGGUAGGGGAGAAUGGAAUUCCCGGUGUAGCGGUGAAAUGCGCAGAUAUCAGGAGGAACACCGGUGGCGAAGGCGGGGUCUCUGGGGCAAUAACUGACGCUGAGGAGCGAAAGCGUGGGGAGCGAACAGG
rnacentral:rRNA from 1 species